rnacentral:misc_RNA from 1 species
AUUUAAUUGGGAAGCAUGGGAGUCUGAUUAAGUCUAUUCAGGAGAGUUCAGGAUCAAUUGUGCGGGUUCUUACAGGAGAUGAGCUGCCUCCUUAUGCGACUGCGGACGAAAGAAUUGUAGACAUCCAGGGUGAACCUUUGAAGGUUCUCAGAGCACUAGAGUCUGUAGUGGAACAUCUCCGAAAGUUUUUGGUUGAUCAUAGUGUGCUUCCUUUAUUUGAAAAGAGUUUGACUGCAUCGGUUGCUCAAGAGCCACAACCCUUGGUCCAGACAUCACAGCAAACUGCAAUUGGGAAUGACUACUUGCUACCAAAACGAGAUUCAUACACAGAACGUGGAUCUCAA